UACGGAGGGAGCUAGCGUUGUUCGGAAUUACUGGGCGUAAAGCGCACGUAGGCGGCUUUGUAAGUUAGAGGUGAAAGCCCGGGGCUCAACCCGGGAAGUGCACUCGAUACUGCCACGCUAGAGUAUCGGAGAGGUUGGUGGAAUUCUCGGUGUAGAGGUGAAAUUCGUAGAUAUCGAGAGGAACACCGGUGGCGAAGGCGGCCAACUGGACGAAUACUGACGCUGAGACUCGAAAGCGUGGGGAGCAAACAGG
rnacentral:rRNA from 1 species